GGCUUUUAGAUCUCUGUGUAUGAUCUUUAAUCUUGAAUCUCUGUGGAGGUAUAGAAGACCUCUGCAAAUUCCUUCCAUUAUGUUGAACCGAGUCUUCCAGUCAAGAAUCUUUUGCUUAGAUGGGUCUGAGAAAAGCUAACAAAGUCAUUAGCUUCCUCUUCAAUCAUCCCGGUAAAAACAGAGGAGGGAAGUUUACCAAAUAGAUAUGCAUCCAAGCUUUUCUUUGGCAUAUAUUCAUAGACUAGCAACCUUUCUUCACCUUCUAUGCAACAGCCAAGUAACUUUACCAGAUUCCGAUGUUGCAACUUUGAAAUCACGACCACUUCGUUCAUAAGUUCUUCUAAUCCUUGCCCCGAUGACCUUGAGAGCCUCUUCACUGCAAUUUCUUGCCCUUCUUGUAACUUCCCCUGAACAAAAAUAUUACCAGACACUUAAGCAGUCUGAGAUUAUUUAUACACAUAUCUCUUAUUAGAAGGAUUCUUGUUUAAUGCUUUACCUUGUAGACAGGACCAAAUCCGCCUUGUCCGAGCUUGUUUCUGAGAGAGAAGUUGUCGGUUGAUGCAGCUAACACUUGAAAGUCAAAAAGCGGAAGCUCCUUGAGCUUGACUUGGUUAGAAGCAGACUCAUUACCACUUGUAAGUGCUUCCAUUCUCUUGAACAAUAGCUCUGCACUUCUAUCUUUCUCUAGUUCUGCUAAGGCAAUGAUCAAUGAAGCAAACAAAUCAUGAUUCAAUAAACAAUCUGAAGCUAUCUUCAAUGAGUAAAGAAGAGCUCUAACCUGGACGCCUUUUGAAUUUCUGGCAUGCUAAGAGAACGCAGACCGCAGCAACAAAUGCAACGCCUACCACUGGUGCUGUGAUAAUAAUUGCUCGCUUGCUAUGUGAUUCUACAAGAUUUGGUGAGAAAACAUAAGUCACUAAUUCAAAUUGAAAGGAAAAGAAAACAAGUGAGACUUAGUAGAAAUUUUUACACACUGAGUUCAGAAUGCGCAAGUCGAACGUAAAGAUCAGUGCCACUUCCCAAGAAUGAUUGCAUAUCAACUAAGCUACCACUCCAGAGCAUGCAUCCGAUUCCUCGAUCAUAAGCAUAAGCCGUGCAAGAACAGUUAUCUAAACAAACCUUAGGACAAGCUUGUUCAUUAGCUAGCGACCGUUCCGCAUUGACUGGUACUUUCAUCUUCUGCAGUUUCAAAAACCCAUCUCCUUUUCCUCCACGACCACCACCACCAUUACUACUUACAUUGCUCUGCCUCUCGCACCGCAAUGGAGCUCUUCUCACACAUCCAUUAGUCCAAUUCCUUGCAUUCCACUCUGUGUUAUUCCUCGGCACAAACCCUUUUACGCAUUUACAAGGCGGAUCUCCCCGAGUAUGACAGCUCCCGUAUGGACCACAUCUACUGUACGCGUCACAAAAUGUCGACGGAAACCUAGCACCGAUUCUCCAAGCAUUCAUAGAAGUACUCCAAUCUCUCUGAUAUAUAACUCCAUCAGGAUCCAAGUUAAAGUGAUACAUGAAAGAAUCAUUAGCAUAGGUCAAUGUAACCGUUCCUUGGUUAUCAUUUAAAAGGUUAAACCCAUCAAUAUUCAGAAGGGUAUCCAUUUCCGGUAAACCGAUGAAAACCUGACCGUUCCAGGGACCGCUACGCCAUUUUGGAACAUUGUUCUUCCAGACUAGAAGCUCAGGAAACGGAAAAGAAACAAGACCAACUGUAUAGCUCCCUGUUGAAGGAUCUACAUAGCUUCUCCAAGAAGUAAGCGUUAGAUUCUCUCCGGUUCUAGGGUCGGUCCUAAGAUUCAUUCUUGGCAACAUAGAAUUAUAAGGAUGCUUGAAACUCUCCCAUAGGAUCUCACCUUUGUUUCUGUUGUCUUGUAACCUAAGAUUCCCAGUAUCCAUUAGCUGAGCACAAGUAUCGUUUGGAGCCACUGGUACUGUGACGUUCGUCGACCAUACAAGGCGGUUUCGACCAUCGGUAACCACAAGAUUUCCGUCGUCGGAGAUCGAAAUAACACCAGAAGUGUCGUUGAUGGGAGUGUCUUUGUUAGCAACCCAAACCACAGUUUGAAUUGGAAUCUUGUCGUACCAGAUCCCAACAUAACGUAACCGAGUAGUGGAAUUUACAGGAGUGAAGAAACCGAACCUGAAAAUGCCACUUUUGCAUAGGAGCGUCUCUGAAUCUUUGAUCGGAGUCGAGAAUGUGAUUCUGUCUUCGCCGAAACAGAGCCUCAACGAGAAUGCUGCAAGUACAAGAAGAACAAAACGACGACGUUUGCUCAGUAAAACCACCAUAACUAGUUGAAAACGAAUGGUUCCAGUUUUGCUUUGUUGUUUCUCUUUGUAAGAUAUUCCUCUAAGAGAGGUAAAUUAAUAAAGUCGUCGUCUUUGUCUCGAUAAGAAGACUUAGAAAAUGAUGUACUUAUUCUUUCAACGAAAAUUUGUUCUGUGGUGGAGUGUUACAUGAGUCCUAAGAAAAAGGGCAUUUGACUUGGACAGAAGUAAGUCUACAGAUUUUGUAGGUUUCUGAGUGGUGUAAGGUCAUAUCAUUGAUGAUCAACUUGAGUUUUCUUUGUCGUUUAUAAAGUCACAUGCUAACUACUGUAGUGACUGUACUAUGUUUAAGAAUUUGUGUUUAAUUCUCACAUAAAAGUUAAAAUGCCAGUACUCUGUCAAGUUGCAACCGCCACAAUUUUAAUCCUGUUUUUCAGUUUUCCCCCAGCUUCACCAUUGUGUUUUUUUUUUUUUUUUUUUUUUUUGAUUAAGGGUUUUCUUAAAUUAAAAGAAUUUGAAGUAGUACAAGGAAACACAAACAAACUAAGAACAACUGAACAACUAUAGAGGGUAUAGAUGUCUGGGAUUCUCUUUGUAUUUGUGGUUUUGUUUAGCUACUAAUUACUAAAAUCAUGGCGGCUAAAAACCAAAACAAAGUAGAGGAAACAUAUUGGCUUCAGAAGAAUAAUUUUCUGCAGAAAAGUCAAAGUUGUUGUGUAUUUAAUGAAUCCAUGAAAAGUCAAAGCUGAUCUUAUUGACUAUCCAGGUUUGUUUCAAUACAUAUAGCAAACCACAAUAGUGUUUUAGAUUCUGUUAAGACAAAACCUGCUGUGGCUUCUCAAGAACACGGGUCGUUUCUGUUUUUCUCCUCUUCUUUCAGGUUCAGUUUCUUCAUCCAGGUUAGUUAAUCCAUCUAAGUGUAGCUCAAGUUUCACUACUAGAAUCUAUUGAACCUAUCAACAUAGCUCAGUUUUAAUAAUACCAGAAUCAGUGAAUAAUACCAAAUCUGUAAUCGGUGAAUCUGAACAUAACUUCUCUCAAAAACAUCUCUUAUUCUUUAAUUUAACCAUUAAACCUCUACAGAAUAUCAAAACUUGUAAACAUAGGAGUUUCUUAAAACGUAUCUAUAUUAUAUAAACAUAUAGAUUGGCUUUUUGAGCUUAACGUCCGGUUACAGCUGUGAGGCUCACAUCGUUGAUAGAGACCUUUUGACUGCUCUGGUCAGAAGAUUCAGCCUCAGAAACUCCUCUCUUUGCUAUAAACGGCUGCUUCGGCUCAGGGAGGUUCGUGUUCUCAGUAGUUAGCAUCCAAAUCACUGUUGAAACAUUCGGUCUAUCGUUUGCAACUUCUUGCACACAUAACAGACCAAUCUGAACACAUUUCGUUAUCUCUUUCUCAAAACGCUCAUCAAAGACGACUCGAUCUGCUAGAGAAGCAGCCUCACCUUCAUUCCACAGCUUCCACACCUGUACAAAACCAAAAUUUUCGGUAAGCUUAAAAGCUUGAACGUAAGUUACUAAACACUAAUUAGCACAUACUUACAUAAGCUAAAAGGUUCAGAUUAUUCUCUUCCUUGUGAGAGUUUCUUCUCCCACUUAUGAUCUCUAGAAAUAUAACCCCCAAGCUGAAAACGUCUGAUUUUUCUGAAAAGAUACCUUCCAUUGCAUAUUCCGGUGACAUAUAACCGCUGCAAAAAACAAAAAUUUCAUUCAUAUUGGUUAUGAUAAACCAACUUUCAAAUGUUUGUUAUGUAUUUUGUGAGUGGAUACUUACUACGUUCCAACAACCCUUCUUGUGUUAGCUUCAUCUUCAUUCGCUCUGAAAACUCUAGCAAGCCCAAAAUCAGAUAUCUUGGGGUUUAGAUUCUCAUCUAACAAAAUGUUGCUGGCUUUUAGAUCUCUGUGUAUGAUCUUCAGUCUUGAAUCUCUGUGAAGGUACAAAAGACCUCUGCAAAUUCCUUCCAUUAUGUUGAGCCGAGUCUUCCAGUCUAGAAUCUUUUGCUUCAAUGGGUCUGAGAGAAGCUAACAAAAUCUUUACCUUUCUCUUCCCCAACCAAAUAGUUAAAAAAAAAAAACAGAGUGAAAAACAGAGGUGAUAGGUUUACCAAAUAGAUAUGCAUCCAAGCUUUUCUUUGGCAUAUAUUCA
rnacentral:lncRNA from 1 species